CUGGAUUCCCUGAAACUUUCCAUUGCUUGAAAAUGAAAUGCAGUUUCUCACCGUGUUCAUUGGAAAUCAGCUGGGGAGAUUGCAGAGGGUGAUCACAUGAUCCUGGGACAUUGCAGCUGUCAUAAAUACAUUCCGGUUGUCAAGCACCUGAAUCAUGAUCACGAGACCGUGGGAUCACGAGACUAUAAGAGUUCUAAAAAACCACAACAACAGGUUUAGAGACGACUUACCCAAAGGGUCUCUGGAUUAAGGCUGGAUGGAGCUGUUGAAC